CACCCCCUCAAGCACGGCUUGUGUGUUGGACAUUGUCCCCGAGGGGACAUGUCCGAAAGGCAGUGGCGGCGCCGCGUUGGGUCCUCGAGCGUAUGGGGCUUUGUCACUCGCUCGGGAAAGGACCUGCGGGCGUUGGUCUUCCUUGUACAGCCCCUGUGGUUGUCUUUUAU
rnacentral:misc_RNA from 1 species